GUGAAACUUCAAAGUCGGCUCGUCAUACUGUGCUGGUGGAGACACAUGUGCACGUCGCGAGUCGCAAAUCCACACACCUGUGCAUCUUAUGACUCUGAGUGCCGCUUUGCAUGGCCUUGACCGGCCUGGUGCUCGAGUACUUUCACACACUCUUGAAUGUAAUGGAAUGUCUAUUGUGCAUAAUGUACAAAUGAAA
rnacentral:misc_RNA from 1 species